AGCAGCCGCGGUAAUUCCAGCUCCAAUAGCGUAUAUUAAAGUUGUUGCAGUUAAAAAGCUCGUAGUUGAAUUUCGGGGUCAGUAGGUUGGUCAUGCCUCCGGUAUGUACUGGUCUCACUGAUUCCUCCUUCCUGAUGAGCCGUAAUGCCAUUAAUUUGGUGUUGCGGGGAAUCUGGACUGUUACUUUGAAAAAAUUAGAGUGUUUAAAGCAAGCUAACGCUUGAAUACAUUAGCAUGGAAUAAUGGAAUAGGACGUUCGAUCCUAUUUUGUUGGUUUCUAGGAUUGACGUAAUGAUUAAUAGGGAUAGUUGGGGGCAUUAGUAUUCAAUUGUCAGAGGUGAAAUUCUUGGAUUUAUUGAAGACUAACUACUGCGAAAGCAUUUGCCAAGGAUGUUUUCAUUAAUCAAGAACGAAAGUUAGGGGAUCGAAGACGAUCAGAUACCGUCGUAGUCUUAACCAUAAACUAUGCCGACUAGGGAUCGGAUGAUGUUAAUUUUUUAAUGACUCAUUCGGCGCCUUA
rnacentral:rRNA from 1 species